rnacentral:rRNA from 1 species
UACGGGGGGGGCAAGCGUUGUUCGGAAUUACUGGGCGUAAAGGGCUCGUAGGUGGCCAACUAAGUCAGACGUGAAAUCCCUCGGCUUAACCGGGGAACUGCAUCCGAUACUGGAUGGCUUGAAUCCGGGAGAGGGAUGCAGAAUUCCAGGUGUAGCGGUGAAAUGCGUAGAUAUCUGGAGGAACACCGGUGGCGAAGGCGGCAUCCUGGACCGGCACUGACGCUGAGGAGCGAAAGCCAGGGGAGCAAACGGG